UCAGAAUUGACAUGAAGAGGUGAGAAUAAGUUAUCCACAGUUGAAGUUCAAAGGAAAACGUGGUGUUGAAGCUGGCUGUAUUUACACCACGGUGCAGAAAUUUGCACCACACCAAGAUCACCAGUCUUUACCUUCCUGUGUCCUGGGGUCUCCAGGAGAUGCAUCAUAUUCCACCUCUUCGCCCUCAAGGUGGAGCUCCCGCGAGUCCAGGCUUUCUAUCAGGUCACUCAUGUCAGCAGCGAUUCUGCGCAGUGCAGAGGUGGUAUUCCAAGCAAAGUGCAUGUUACCUCUUUGGAAAAUGAGAGCUCAGCCAUGACUACACAUGAGAUACAUAAAUGCCCUGGAAUGGAGGGAAGUGUGAAGUGUGAAGUACCCUAGGACAAGACCCUUUAAGAGCUAACUCUAAUGCAGAGAAAUGAACUCCUCCUGCAGCCCAGUUUAAACUCCCCGGGUCUUGGUUUCCUCCUCUGUAAAUUAAGGAGGUUGAGCUACUUCAUCUCUAAGGUCCCUUUAACACUAAAAUCCUAAUUGUAAAUAAAAGAUGCUUAAAAUUA